UACAGAGGUCCCGAGCGUUGUUCGGAUUCACUGGGCGUAAAGGGUGCGUAGGUGGUUGGGUAAGUCUGAUGUGAAAUCUCCGGGCUCAACCCGGAAAUGGCAUUGGAUACUAUUCGGCUAGAGGUUUGGAGGGGGGACUGGAAUUCUCGGUGUAGCAGUGAAAUGCGUAGAUAUCGAGAGGAACACCAGUGGCGAAGGCGAGUCCCUGGACAACACCUGACACUGAGGCACGAAAGCUAGGGGAGCAAACAGG
rnacentral:rRNA from 1 species